GGAGUGACCGGAGGCAGUGGAUACCUGGAUUCUGGUUCAGCCGCGACGUGGUGUCCCGGCCCGCCUGGGGAUGAAGACCAUGGGGGAAGGAGACUCUGACCCAGUCCUGGGGUGGGACAGAGGUGACAGCUGUUGCUUAAGAAGGAAAAUGACUUGAGCACAGGUCGGGGCAAUUGGAGUAACCAAAGCAGUUCAGCGUACAGGAGACGGAAUGUGAGAGUGCUCACAUUCCCGGAGAUGGGAGCUAAUGGUGCCCACCUCGUGGGGCUGCUGUAGGAUUUCGCCAGCAAACAUCCAGGCACCUUUAGCCUGUGGCACAGCCAAAGAGGCCAAAGCGGUGAAGAGGAAGGUGGCACCUCCGGACAGCCCUUCCCACCUCCCUGACCCAGAUAAAGCCAAGGAGAGUUGACGGAAGAGGGGUCCCCCAUCCUUCCUCCCCCUCCCCCCUGCACACAGCAACUCUCAGAGGUCUCUGUCCUCCGGGCAGGACCCCUGAGAGGGUCUAUCUGCCCUCUUGCCAGUUUCCAGGGAGGAGGGCAGAGGCAUAAGGCCCUACCUGUCACUGCCAGGCUGAGGGUCCCUGAGAACCUGGCCGGCCCCCCCAACCCCCCCGUUAAGUAGUUGCUCCAUCUUUAGCUAAAGAGACUCAAUUCCCUAAUAAGUGACACUUAAAAAAAGGGUGAGCAGAGUGAGCUUUUCAUGCUCCUUUGUGGGAGGAAAACUUGCCCCAAGCUAAUCAGCUAAUCACAGCUCUCCGCCAUUUCUUUUGACAUAAACUAUGUCAAAAUUAGGCCAACUGCCAGCUCUGAGUGUUUAUUAAUAUGAAAAAGAAGUAAUUAUCCUAAACAUCUACAAAAUAAUAGGGGCAGGGCACCUACCAAUUACGUGAGAAGGCCCUGCCCAUGACUCCUGCCCACCCAGGCCCUUCUGGACCACGGCCUGCCCUGCCAAUUGCGUGAGCCUGGCACAGAGGGCUGCCCUGCCACCCCUCCCCCCUCCCCAUCAGAGCUCUACUAGGGUGGACCCAACCCUUCACCCCUCCCCGUCGGCGCUCUGGCAGGGCUGUUCCCCACCCCCACCCUUCCCCAUCAGAGCUCUGGGUGGGCUGUGUCCCCCCUAGCCCCACCCCCCCCUUAUCAGAGCUCUGGCAGGGGCCCUGGGAGUGGGAGAAGAUUGCGUAGUUACUCAUGCAGGGCAGACCUGAGCCACUGCUGGGAGCCAGGAGGCAAUUGGGGAAGAUUGAUUUUAGAGAGUUGGAGCGGGAGUGUGUAAAUCAGCAAGGGAGAGCACCAGCCAGCACACUCAGGCCUCACUCGGUGUCACCUCUGAGGUCACAGGCCCUUGGCUGAAACAAUCUCCCCUGGUAGGGACCUACAGGUGUCUGCUCAGCCCACCCAGCGGCCAGAGCAUCCAGAAGUGCCCCGCCCCAGCCAGAGACCCACAAAAGAAACUCCAUCCAGGGAAGGCUCCUCCUUGGAGCUACUGUGGUUUCCCUUGUCCCUGUGACACCGUGUCCUGCCAGGGUUCCGUGCUCUGCCCGCCCGCCUCCAUCUAGCAACCAUGCUCUUGCAGCUCCAUGGACACUCUGACAGCUGGCUUCCUGGACAUGGCAGGCCCAAAGGUGGCAACCAGCCAGAUUCUGACUCAUGAGCCACCCUUGGGGCCUUACAGGGGAGUCCCCGGAAAGAGCCAUGAUGUGGACCCCACGCAUCUCUUGCUGCAUGCAGAGGACUCUGGUCUGCCCAAGGGCUCUGUGGGACCCCACUGGAGGUGGCCUGGAUGCUGGCUCUGCCUCUGGCUACCAAGCUGUUGCCCGUAGUGCCCCUCUGACAGGCCACACUGUGAGGGGUCAGGGGCAGAGGAGGAAGAGGAGGCCUCAGCAUUGUCCCCACGGAGCCCCCCGUCUGGGAGGGCCACAGAGUAGGGGUGUGUGCUGCCAUUUCCUCCUGUGAUGAGCGGGGAGUUACGGCGGGGUUCUGAGCAGGAAAGCGGUAGGGUCCGAGCCCAUGUCUCGGAGGGUUGGAGGAGAGAACUGGAAAGAGCCUGCAAGAGGCUCCAUGUCACCCGCAUGGGGCACCAGCCUCAGGUGGUGAAGGCCCACACCGGUGUCAUGCGGGUGUUUUGUGAUUGUUUGUUUGCUUUUGCUGAGAAUAAAAGACUGGUGCCAAAUAGACUGAAGAGAAAGAACAGAGGGGUGUGGGUGUGGGUGUGGGUGUGGGGGG
ensembl:lncRNA